rnacentral:rRNA from 1 species
AUUGAACGCUGGCGGCAGGCCUAACACAUGCAAGUCGAGCGGAUGAAGAGAGCUUGCUCUCUGAUUUAGCGGCGGACGGGUGAGUAAUGCCUAGGAAUCUGCCUGGUAGUGGGGGAUAACAUUCCGAAAGGAACGCUAAUACCGCAUACGUCCUACGGGAGAAAGCAGGGGACCUUCGGGCCUUGCGCUAUCAGAUGAGCCUAGGUCGGAUUAGCUAGUUGGUGAGGUAAUGGCUCACCAAGGCGACGAUCCGUAACUGGUCUGAGAGGAUGAUCAGUCACACUGGAACUGAGACACGGUCCAGACUCCUACGGGAGGCAGCAGUGGGGAAUAUUGGACAAUGGGCGAAAGCCUGAUCCAGCCAUGCCGCGUGUGUGAAGAAGGUCUUCGGAUUGUAAAGCACUUUAAGUUGGGAGGAAGGGCAGUAAGCUAAUACCUUGCUGUUUUGACGUUACCGACAGAAUAAGCACCGGCUAACUUCGUGCCAGCCGCCGCGGUAAGAC